rnacentral:lncRNA from 1 species
GGGGCCUUGGUGGAGGGAGCCAUCGCCACAAGGGCUGCUUCCCAGGCAGGCCGGGGAUCCCGGGGCACCCUCCUACCCCUGGCAACAUACACAAGACGUCCCCUGCAGUUCUAGCGGGUGCAACUGGAGUACGGCGAAGGGGUGGGGAGCGGCAGUAUGUGGGUAUCCCAUACCGGCCACUCUCAGCCAGAGCAGAGCUGGAGCUCUGGUUCUCCAAGGAGAAUCCAGGGCAGCAGAAGCCUCACAUCCAUCCCCCAACCCCGCCCCCCGCUUUGCAGACUGCAGAUGAGUGGAGUAACUUACCGAAGGUGACACCGCUAGAACACAGCAUAGCUCAAACUCCAAGCCAGGCUCUCUCUGCUCAACUGAAGAAUGGAACCAGCAGCCAUUUCAUGCAGCUGUGAGGGCCUGAGAAGGCACAGAGCCACUGCCUGACACAAGGCCCCCAACAUUGGAAGCACCAGGAACUGACGAGAGGGAAACCUGUAACCUCCUUGCCUCUCCACCAUACAAAGGAUCCUGCCAAAAAAUCCUGAACAGCCCCCUCUACCUUUGGAGCCUAUGCUUCCUGGUGGCCACACAUCAAUUUCCACCCGAGUAAUUGCGGCCCAUCACACAUACAUCAUCCCCUAUAUUUGAAACUCUUUGAGGUUGUCAUGGGAACUGCCUUCGCCUUCAUUCACUGAUCAGACCUCACAAUUAGCUUUGGCAGCGGAAGGCUUUGUCAAUGGCAGUCACCAGGAGGAGGAAGCAGAGAAGAAGGAACAACAACAGAAGAGAGAUGGUUUUCCUUGGAGGUCCAGCAGAACCAGACGGCAGUGACACUUCCCUGUGACAAGUCAGGUCACACACCUGAGUCCCUGACAGGUAGUGAUGCUCUUCCUGUGCUCCAUGCAUCCUCCUGUCAGUGGCUCCCAACCAUCCUAAUGCUGCAACCUUUUAAUAUAAGGUCACGUGGUAUUGGCCCCCACAAAGAAGAGAUGGUGCCUAGACAUCAAGUCCCAGAAUCGUUUGUCUGCCCACCCAGCCACCACACUGCCUUCUGCAGCAGACAGCCUAAGGCAGAGGGAUGACUCUGGGCUGGGUUUGUGAACAAGUACGUGCAGGACAAGAAGUUAACUUGAACAACGUUCCCUGAGGCUUUGAUCAAGACUGGGUGGGAGGAUCCCAGUAGGGAGCCUCACCUUAUUGGAUCCCACUGCUGUUCUAAAAAACAUAGCCGCGCCUCCAACAACGAUUUCUGGAGUAGGUUAGAAUUCAGAAGAGCACUGUUCCAUUCUAUACCAUGGUCACGACUCCCAACCCAGAAGGCUAUUUCCCCAACCUCAAAGAAGAGAUGAGGAGGAUGAAUCUGGGGACCACACAGGGAUGCCCUAUGUCUAGCUCAUAGCUCUACCCAAUAGCUCUUCUAUGCUAGUAACCUCUUGAAAGAGGAUCUUAUAGUAUAUAGCUGAGACUGGCCUGGAACUCAUCAGGUAAGAGGCUGGACUACAUAAAGAGUUAAGCCAACCUCCAAUUCAUGAGUCCUUUCUGCUUUCACCUCCCAAGUGUGGGGAUUACAGGUAUGAGCCACCACUCCCAGCUAAGAACAUUCUUUAUCUGCAUUGUCCAACACGAGCCAUUAGCCGAAUAUACCUGAGUAAUUAGAAGGCUAUUGAGACCACUGCUGUAAUUUAAAUUUAAAUAGCCAUCCAUGGUUUAUGGAUCUCACAUGGGAUGGCUCAGACAAAUCAUGCUUUUAAAACCUGGGGUGGCCAUGUAUAUUCUAGAGAAUGUGCUAAAACCAUAUGCUGUCUCCCCAGAGGAGAUAUCCUGUUGCACAUUCAAGGGAAAUUCAGCUGAACCUUUCAGAAAGCUCAUAAACCUGACCUGAACCCAGAUCUGAGACUAAGUCCAGCUAUAGGCUAGAGCCCAGGGCUGGGGUAUAGCUCAGGCAUAAAGCGCUUACUUGUCUUACGUGUUUAAGGUCUAAUCCCCAGCACGACAAGAAAAAUUAAGUUGCUAGAGAAAUGGCUCUGUUUAGUGAAGUGCUUACUGCAAACAUGAGAACCUAAGUUUGGAUCCCCAGGACCUACAGCACCCACAUGACAGCCCAGCUUUUACCCUGCUCUAGCACUGGAGAUACGAUCCUUCCUGGGGGUUACUGGACAACCAGUCUAGCUGAAUCUGCAAACGCAAUUGGAAGACUGUCUCAAAAAAUAAAAGGGUUGGCUUGGA